CCCGACAGAGCUGCCUGGGAGCUCCGCGGGAGCCGGCCUUCGCGGGGAACCUGCUGCCAAUCCUGCGCCCAGACCGCCGCGUGUCCCCGAAACAGCAAAGCCCCUCAGCGUUCCGCACCGCCACAGCGGACGCCGCCAUCUUGUACGGCAAACCCUUUCAUUUUCGGGACCGGCCCGCUGACGUACCUCGCAAGGCGGGAGCCAACAUAGGCGGCAGUCGCGCCCUCUGGCGGUGGAGCCUGAGCAGCGACAGCCGCUUUGACCCGCGGGGGAUUCUGCUUCCGGGUCUCCUCGGGGGCGGGGCCCUGACGUGAACGCCGAGCUGGGCGCGGCUGGGGCGGCAUCGGAGCAUGCGCAUUGGGAUGGCGCGGGCUCGCGGCCGGGGGCGGCGCCUGCGUGGGCUGAGGGUCCCCGUGGUCUGUUCCUCCCGCGCCCGCGGGCCCGCGCCAUUGUCACCGUUUACCGGUGAGAGAACGCGCCCCCACGCCCACCCUGCUGCCCCCUGAUGGAGUGGGCUGGAGAUUGAUGUGGUGCCCAUGCAACUCAAAACUCAAGAAAAUGCUUCAGGAGGGAGUGAGUUAAUGAAUUAAUGAACAGAAUGUAAAUGGCUUCAGUGUUUACGGAGGACUUUUUGGCAGUAUUUUCUAAAAUAAAAAGUAACAAACUGUU